rnacentral:lncRNA from 1 species
CGGGGCCUGCGCGGGGGUGGCCCGGGGAGCCCAGGCGGGACGCGCUCUCUGGGCGCAGGCUCGCUGAUAAACUUUUGGUCCGGUUCAUCACUCAUGUCACAGCCCUAGUGACGUGCGUACUAUUAUUAGCGUCACUUAGAGGUGAGGAAACAGGCUCAAAAAAUACCAAGUUACGUGCUUGAAGUCAAACCGAAGGCAGAGCUGCGAAGCAAAUCCAAGUCUGUCUUGACACAGCUGUGUGUCCUACUUCUCAUGGAUCAGCCUCUUCCCGGCUUUCAUUCCCGUGAGCAGCAAACAGCGCUCCCGGGGACAUCUGGGCACUCUCCCUUCUAACAAUGGAGAGGGGACGCAGUCAUUUUAGUUCCAGAACCAAAGGACAUUUAGCAGCAGCCUAGAGUGAAGACGGCAGUAGGAGACCUGGGUUACUUACGUAGAUUCCAAACAACAAUGCAGGAAUCCACAUACGGUGACGUUUGCAGCACUGUAGGAGUUAACCAGGCACGUUCAUGCGUAUGGUGUCACAUCGGAGUCUCUCAGCAGUUCUGCACUGAGAAUAGCAGUUCCUGUCAGGGCGCUGGUGGUUGGCCAGCACAGAGCGCUGGUUGGUGCAUGCUUCUCCGCAGAUGUUGCCAAGUGUACAACAUGGAGGAAAAAGGCUUCAAGCAAUUGGGAGAGAAGUAGGCAACAUUAGGUCACUAGGCUCAACGGAGGGAGAAAAGAAGAUUCUGGAAAAUUCACUGGAGGGUUGAUAAGAACAGUUUAAUUAGGAUUUUUUUUUAUUGUGAAAUAUACAUAACACAAAAGAUGCCGUUUUAACCAUUUUUAAAGGUACAACUCAGUGGCGUUAAUUAUUGAAAAUGUUGUGUAACCACCACCAUGAUCUAUUUCCAAAACUUUUCCAUCACCCCAGACAGAAACUCUGAACCCUUCACGCCAAGAUUUCCUAUACCCCCUUCCUCCAGGCCCUGAUAAACACUAGUGCACUUUCUGUCCCUAUGAAUUUGUCUAUUCUUGAUAUUUCAUAUAUUCUAUAUUUCAUACAGUAUCUGUCCCUUUGCGUCUGACUUCUUCCGGGGUUCAUCCCCGUUGUAGCAUGUAUCCGAACUUCAUUCCUGUUAACGGCUGAGUAUCCUAUUGUAUGUUCCUACCACAUUUUGUUUAUCCAUUUAUCUGCUGACGGACACUUGGAUUGUUUCUACCUUCUGGCUAUUGUGAACAAAGCUGCAAUGAACACUGGCUUACAAGUGCCUGUUUGAGUCCUUCUUUUCAAUUCUUUUGAGUGUCUACCAGGAGUGGAAUUGCCUAGUCAUAGGGUAAUUCUACGUUUAACUUUUUGCGGAACUGCCCAACUAUUUUCCACAGGGACGGUGCCAUUUUACAUUCCCACCGCAGGGGAUGAGGGUUUCAAUCUCUCCAGAUCCUUGCCAACACUUGUUAUUUCCAUUUUCUUUUUAUAGCUAUCCUUAUAGGUGUGAAGUGGUAUCUUACUGUGGUUUUGAGUUGUAUUUCCUAAUGACUAAUGACAUUGAGCAUUUUUAAUGCACUUACUGGUCAUUUGUAUAUCUUCUUUGGAUAAAUGUCUAUUCAAGUACUUUGCUCAUUUUUAAAUUGAGUCAUUUGUUUUGGGUUGAGCUAUAGUAGUUCUUAUGUAUUUUGGAUAUUAAAUCCUAAUCAGAUACAU